UACGAAGGGGACUAGCGUUGCUCGGAAUCACUGGGCGUAAAGCGCACGUAGGCGGAUCUUUAAGUCAGAGGUGAAAUCCCAAGGCUCAACCUUGGAACUGCCUUUGAUACUGGGGAUCUCGAGUCCGGAAGAGGUGAGUGGAACUGCGAGUGUAGAGGUGAAAUUCGUAGAUAUUCGCAAGAACACCAGUGGCGAAGGCGGCUCACUGGUCCGGUACUGACGCUGAGGUGCGAAAGCGUGGGGAGCAAACAGG
rnacentral:rRNA from 1 species